rnacentral:misc_RNA from 1 species
GCUUUGCUUGAAGUUGUUGAGAGUGGGGGGAAGAACAUAGAAAUUGCUGUGAUGACAAAAGAGCAUGGGCUGCGACAGCUUGAAGAAGCAGAGAUUGAUGCAAUUGUUGCUGAGAUCGAAGCAGAGAAAGCAGCAGCUGAGACCGCAAAGAAGGCUCCUCCAAAGGAAACCUAGUGUUACUGUAGUUCUCAUUUAUUAUCUUGUACUGAGCGAUUAUUUUCUUCAAUGCUCCAUCACUUUUUAUGUUAUAACAUUAAUUUCUUUGUAAAAGCAACACCUUAUUUCAGGACUCCACUGUCCUGUGUGUUUCUCUCUCUUGUGAUUGCUGUUUUGGUUUUGGUAAUCAGUGAUACUGGAUAUUUUGGGUGUUGCUUUAUGGAAAUGAUUGCUCA